UACGGAGGAUGCGAGCGUUAUCCGGAUUUAUUGGGUUUAAAGGGUGCGUAGGCGGCCGAGUAAGUCAGCGGUGAAAUUUUGCAGCUUAACUGUAACAGUGCCGUUGAUACUGCAUGGCUAGGAUUUGGUUGCUGUGGGUGGAAUGUGUGGUGUAGCGGUGAAAUGCUUAGAUAUCACACAGAAUAUCAAUUGCGAAGGCAGCUCACAAAGCCAAGAUUGACGCUGAGGCACGAAAGCAUGGGUAG
rnacentral:rRNA from 1 species